GGUUAGAGUUUGAUCCUGGCUCAGAUUGAACGCUGGCGGAAUGCUUUACACAUGCAAGUCGAGCGGCAGCGCGGGGCAACCUGGCGGCGAGCGGCGAACGGGUGAGUAAUGCAUCGGAACAUGUCCAUGUCGUGGGGGAUAGCCCGGCGAAAGCCGGAUUAAUACCGCAUACGCCCGAGAGGGGAAAGUGGGGGACCGCAAGGCCUCACGCGAUUGGGUUGGCCGAUGUCCGAUUAGCUAGUUGGCGGGGUAAGAGCCCACCAAGGCGAUGAUCGGUAGCUGGUCUGAGAGGAUGAUCAGCCACACUGGGACUGAGACACGGCCCAGAUCUCCUAACCGGGAGGCAGCAGUAGGGGAUUUUGGACAAUGGGGGCAACCCUGAUCCAGCCAUUCCGCGUGAAGUGAAGAAGGCCUUCGGGUUGUAAAGCUCUUUUGUCCGGAACGAAACGGGUAGGUCGAACAAGCCUGCCUACUGACGGUACCGGAAGAAUAAGCACCGGCUAACUACGUGCCAGCAGCCGCGGUAAUACGUAGGGUGCGAGCGUUAAUCGGAAUUACUGGGCGUAAAGCGUGCGCAGGCGGUUUUGUAAGCCAGAUGUGAAAGCCCCGGGCUUAACCUGGGAAUGGCAUUUGGGACUGCAAGGCUGGAGUGCGGCAGAGGAGACUGGAAUUCCCGGUGUAGCAGUGAAAUGCGUAGAUAUCGGGAGGAAUACCGAUGGCGAAGGCAGGUCUCUGGGCUGACACUGACGCUCAUGCACGAAAGCGUGGGGAGCAAACAGGAUUAGAUACCCUGGGUAGUCCACGCCCUAAACGAUGUCGACUGGUUGUUGGGGGUUUGACACUCUCAGUAACGAAGCUAACGCGUGAAGUCGACCGCCUGGGGAGUACGGSCGCAAGGUUAAAACUCAAAGGAAUUGACGGGGACCCGCACAAGCGGUGGAUUAUGUGGAUUAAUUCGAUGCAACGCGAAAAWCCUUACCUACCCUUGACAUGUCCUGGAGCUCGCUGAAAGGCGGGUGGUGCCCGAAAGGGAACGGGAACACAGGUGCUGCAUGGCUGUCGUCAGCUCGUGUCGUGAGAAUGUUGGGUUAAGUCCCGCAACGAGCGCAACCCUUGUCAUUAGUUGCUACAUUCAGUUGGGCACUCUAAUGAGAACUGCCGGGUGACAAACCGGAGGAAAGGUUGGGGAUGACGUCAAGUCCUCAUGGCCCUUAUGGGUAGGGCUUCACACGUAAUACAAUGGCGCGUACGGAGGGUUGCCAAGGGGCGACCUGGAGCCAAUCCCUUAAAGCGCGUCGUAGUCCGGAUUGGAGUCUGCAACUCGACUCCAUGAAGUCGGAAUCGCUAGUAAUCGCGGAUCAGCAUGUCGCGGUGAAUACGUUCCCGGGUCUUGUACACACCGCCCGUCACACCAUGGGAGUGGGUUUCACCAGAAGCCGGUCGCUUAACCGCAAGGAUGGCGCCGACCACGGUGAGAUUCAUGACUGGGGUGAAGUCGUAACAAGGUAACC
rnacentral:rRNA from 1 species